rnacentral:rRNA from 1 species
AUUGAACGCUGGCGGCAUGCCUUACACAUGCAAGUCGAACGGCAGCGGGGGAGAAGCUUGCUUUUCCUGCCGGCGAGUGGCGAACGGGUGAGUAAUACAUCGGAACGUGCCCUGUAGUGGGGGAUAACUAGUCGAAAGAUUAGCUAAUACCGCAUAAGACCUGAGGGUGAAAGUGGGGGACCGCACGGCCUCAUGCUAUAGGAGCGGCCGGUGUCUGAUUAGCUAGUUGGUGGGGUAAAGGCCUACCAAGGCGACGAUCAGUAGCUGGUCUGAGAGGACGAUCAGCCACACUGGGACUGAGACACGGCCCAGACUCCUACGGGAGGAAGCAGUGGGGAAUUUUGGACAAUGGGCGAAAGCCUGAUCCAGCAAUGCCGCGUGUGUGAAGAAGGCCUUCGGGUUGUAAAGCACUUUUGUCCGGAAAGAAAUGGCUCUGGUUAAUACCUGGGGUCGAUGACGGUACCGGAAGAAUAAGGACCGGCUAACUACGUGCCAGCCGCCGCGGUAAAAC